ensembl:lncRNA
GAUGGAAAGAAAAAAUGAAUACAUUUGUUAGGUUUUAAAUAAUGAAGCAACUGAUGCACAAACACCAAUAAAUAGCUCAAAAGUGCAAAUGCCAUUUGCUUUUAUAUUUUGUUAUCUAAUGCAGUUACAAUCAGAAAGUGUGACUUUUUGGUGCCGUUAUAGUUUGUAUAAAAGUCAAUAAUAAUUAUAUUUCAAUUAUAAUAGUCACCACUGCUGAUAAACACACGGCUGAGUUGGAGCUCCUGGAAAUGCCUGAAAGCUGCUUUGCUAACAUCACCUUCAAGGAGCCACAAUCUCCAGUUGCUUCGAGGUCUUACGCUGAGAUGGAAUUAGACCUGCUUCUUUCACCAUCUAGUCAUACGCUGUGUCUGCCAGACCUGUGUGUGUCCAGCAAACAGCUGUCAGCUGAGAUUCUGUCACCAGUUUAUAAUCAGCAUUUCAUGUCAGACAGUGAUUGUGAAAAUAUGGAAAAAGCUGUUUGGAUGGCAGAGAAACAUCCCCAAUGUGUGGCUCGAUUUUUACUUGCUGAACCAGAGGUAGCUAAGCCACUGGUCCACAUUCAGUCACUCCCAGAGCUUCUCACACUCCUGAAGGUGGAGGUGGAACAGGUUGCAGAACCCAAAGACAAUAUGGGUCAGUUUCACCUCACUGGCAGUACAGUGAUGCUUCCUGAAAACAUCUUCAAAAAUCUCUCCAUCUAUACUGAGAAAAUGUCCACAGAAGACUGUAAGAGAGCUGUGAGAAAGCCACAUGUGGAUGAAACAUUCUCGUCACUGUCUAUUGUGAAUAUAGAUGGUAAGACAGAAUGCAAUAUUUGUCUCCUUAAAAAAAAAAAACGACACUAAACAAAAUUAUAACCGCAACACCUUUGUUUUUUCCCCCAUUUUUCAUGAGCUGAACUCAAAGAUCUAAGACUUUUUCUAUGUGCACAAAAGGCCUAUUUCUCUCAAAUAUUGUUCACAAAUCUGUCUAAAUCUGUGUUAGUGAGCACUUCUCCUUUGCAGAGAUAAUCCAUCCACCUCAUAGGUGUGGCAUAUCAGGAUUAGACAGCAUGAUUAUUGCACAGGUGUGCCUUAGGCUGGCCACAAUAAAAGGCCACUCUUGGGGAGCA